ACAAGCAGCGGAGCGUGUGGUUAAUUCGAUGCAACGCGAAAACCUUACCAAGGCUUGACAUGCCAGAGUAGAACUCGAAAGAGAGACCAUCUGUAUCCAGUCAGAAGCUGGCACAGGUGCUGCAUGGCUGUCGUCAGCUCGUGCCGUGAGGUGUUAGGUUAAGUCCUGCAACGAGCGCAACCCUCGUCGCUAGUUAAUUUUCUAGCGAUACUGCCCGUAAAACGAGGAGGAAGGUGGGGAUGACGUCAAGUCAGCAUGGCCCUUACGCCUUGGGCUACACACACGCUACAAUGGGUUAUACAACGGGUUGCGAAAGAGCGAUCUGGAGCUAAUCCCUAAAAUCACUCUCAGUUCGGAUUGUAGGCUGAAACUGCCUGCAUGAAGUUGGAGUUGCUAGUAACCGCAGGUCAGCACACUGCGGUGAAUACGUUCUCGGGCCUU
rnacentral:rRNA from 1 species